rnacentral:rRNA from 1 species
UACGGAGGGUGCAAGCGUUAAUCGGAAUUACUGGGCGUAAAGCGCACGCAGGCGGUUUGUUAAGUCAGAUGUGAAAUCCCCGGGCUCAACCUGGGAACUGCCUCUGAUACUGGCAAUCUUGAGUCCCGUAGAGGGGGGUAGAAUUGCAGGUGUAGCGGUGAAAUGCGUAGAGAUCUGGAGGAAUACCGGUGGCGAAGGCGGCCCCCUGGACGAAGACUGACGCUCAGGUGCGAAAGCGUGGGGAGCAAACAGG